AAGGAAAUACUAGCCUUUAAAAUAACUUUGAGUAAGGACAUAGAGGGUAGAAAAACUGGGAAUGUGGAAGCAAAAAUCUCUUUAUAUGCAGACGAUACUAGCUUUAUUAUAAACUAGAAUAUGACCAGUCUGUCUGAGCUUCUGAAACAGUAGUUUUACAAAAGAUGCUGUCUGUUGUGUGGAGACGAUGGAGGUGGAAAAUGCUGAGUGUAAGAUUCGUAUCAUUUCAGACUCAUCAAACCCUCGGGUCCGAUGGGGGGGGGGGGGUUCAGUCGUCCUGAAAGAAAUGACUCCCAUUAGGUUUUUCUCUUUAAUCUGUCACCCAUCUCAUCUAAGUCUGUGAUUAGUCAGGAAAUGACAAAGGCUUACGGACUUAAAAACAGUGAUCACAGUUGUCACAGUGAGGGCAGAGCUUCAUUUCAGCUCAGAGGAGGAAACAUUCACAAUCACGGUACAAAGCAGCUGAUUUCAGCGUGCUUUCACCUUAUUGAAGCCACAGAUCGGCUGUAAUCAACGACAGAGUGGAGUUCGGCGGGUAACACACUUAGAGAAAAUCACUCAAUCCACACAUGACUGGGCAGCUCUGUGGCAUGUAGAGCUCAUUGUUUACACCACAUGAAACCAGUUUCCACAAAAACUCGGAUCUCCGAUGGCAUUUUCAACCAGAAUGUGCAUACGUCAAAAAAAAAAAAAAAAGGGCAGAAUCUGAAACACAGGAAGUUUACGUCUAAUACUGUUGAAAAAAAAAAAUCAAAUAAAUAAAAGCAUGUAUUGUUUACAACAGCCUACUCUUGCUGAAGUUCAGGUUUGCUGCUGAAAGGGUUUAACACGCCCAAAAUUACGCUAAAGUCACGCGAUUGUUCAGUCGUGCAAUGCAAGCUUUGCUGAGACAGGCUGGUGCAAGAAGGGCAGAAUUUUUAAUAUAAUAGCCGUGUAUAUAUAUAUAUUGUUACUAUGUUGUUCCGUUAUGUUCCUUUUUUUUAAGGAAGCAGCUCUACUAUUAAUGUUUCAAAGAGAAUGUACAUGUUUAACCCCUUCUAUUCCACAGUAAAUCCUCUGAGAAUGUGCGCCUCAGUGCUCCAUGUUGGUUAUUUUGUUCAUAUGUCAAAUGUUGAGCUCUGUGUUUGAGCACAUAUAUCUGGGAAUAGAGAUGGUUGAACGCCAAAAGCCCAGGAGCAAAUGACCAAGAGUUAAAUAUUUAGAUUUAAGCAAAUAAGUACAACCAUACUUUGACACCUUUAAUGAUAUUCUGUAAAAACACUGCAUCAUGGAAUAAAUUGACAAAAUGGAACAUAUUUUCACUUCAUCACUCAUUUUGCGAUAAACAACAGUAUAAUGUUUAAUCCUGUCACAUGUGGAAGUACAAAACACACACUUUUGAAUGAUGAAUGCAUCACCUUCAUCUACACCUGUUUAACAGUGAAUUCUCCAAACAGUGGCAGCUGGUGUUAAACAAAAUGAACAAUAUGAUGUUUUUUUUCUUUUUACUAAAUCUCCUGUACUAAACAUGGAGGUGUAGGAGACUAAAUGUAGGUGGGCAGAAGUUUGUUACCAGUGACAUUUGGAACAGGUUCAUCCUCUGUUUCAGGUUCAUUCAGAGGCACAGACAACAUCUGUGUUACUUGGCAACCCAGCAGAAAUGAUCCAAUCACAUGAGGACAAAAAAUAGAAUAAUUCUGAUCAGCUACAGCGGGGGUGGUGCAAAAUGGGCGCCCAAGCUGCUACUUUUAUCCUCCAAUGAGAGCGCAGCCUGGUGUCACCUGUGUGGUGAACUGGUCCUCCACCUCUCAGCUCAAAGGUCUGACCCCCAGUCGGACCAAGGCUUUUCUGGGUGGACUUUUCCUGUUGUCUCCACAGCGCAUGGGGUUCCAUCAAAAACACCUAUAUAAAAGUAAAUACCCCUGUCAGUGACCUUGACCACGGUUCUGAGGAAGAUCUGGUCUUGGUCCUUGAGUGCCUUCAAUGGCAGCUCACUGCUCCUAAUAUGCUAAUGCUAAUGCUAAGUUACAGUGGGUAAAAUGCAGACACUAAAACAACAGUUAAAUACAGUUAAACCGACCCAAAUAAAUGUGGACAUCAACUGCAGGAUCUACAAUAAUGAUUUAAACAUGUUUUUCAUUUCAGGUAUAUUAUUACCCCUGUUGUAAAAGUAUGUAUGCUGUUCUUCUCCAACUUAAUUGAAGUAGAAAGGCACUUUUGCCUUUAUGGACCAGCUGCCACUGGCCCCAGUAUCAGACAUUAGUUGCAUAUAUCUGACUAUGAUUUUA